UACAUGGGGGUGCAAACGUUGCUCGGAAUUAUUGGGCGUAAAGCGCGCGUAGGCGGUUACUCAAGUCGGAUGUGAAAGCCCUCGGCUUAACUGAGGAAGUGCACCCGAAACUGAGUAGCUAGAGUACUAAAGAGGGUCGCGGAAUUCCCGGUGUAGAGGUGAAAUUCGUAGAUAUCGGGAGGAACACCGGUGGCGAAGGCGGCGACCUGGGUAGAUACUGACGCUGAGGCGCGAAAGCGUGGGGAGCAAAAAGGG
rnacentral:rRNA from 1 species